CAAAGGCUUGGUCCUGGCCUUGCU
rnacentral:rRNA from 1 species